CAGCCGCCGCGGUAAUACGGAGGGGGCUAGCGUUGUUCAGGAUUACUGGGCGUAAAGCGCACGUAGGCGGCUUGGUAAGUUAGAGGUGAAAGCCUGGAGCUCAACUCCAGAAUUGCCUUUAAGACUGCCGAGCUAGCAGGUGAGAGAGGUAAGUGGAAUUCCGAGUGUAGAGGUGAAAUUCGUAGAUAUUCGGAAGAACACCAGUGGCGAAGGCGGCUUACUGGCUCAUACUGGACGCUGAGGUGCGAAAGCGUGGGGAGCAAACAGGAUUAGAUACCCCCGUAGUCCCUGUCUCUUAUAA
rnacentral:rRNA from 1 species